AAGAGGGGAUUUCCCUCAAACCCUAAAAUUCACAAAAAUCCAUCAAUUGAAGGUGCAAAUCAAGUCCGAAUUGAAAUCUGAAUAUAGGGUUGUGAUCAUCUUGACUAAGAGAUUGUAAGGCAACACGAGUGAGGCGUCGGGAAGUCAAGCCGGUGCGGACGCUCGCCAAAAGGGAAAGCUCUAAGAUUUCAAGUAAGUUAAUCAAGCGGAUGGUGAUCAACUCAAGACCAUGAACCGAACACAUUCAAGAAGAUGAUCUUCACUUUUGUUUUAGGAGUUCAUUUUGUGAAAACUUUUGUAUUGAAAGAAUGACUUAUGUGUCCCUUAAGUUUAGUGGUUGUUUUCAGACACUU